rnacentral:lncRNA from 1 species
UUAGGGUUAGGGUUAAACAAAUGUUUUUAAAAAACAGCUGAUCAAAACAGAGGGUAUUUUUAACCCAAAGCAGACAUCUAUCCCCUCAUUUUAAGUGGCAUUAAACAAUGCAGUUAUGGUAGAAAUUGAUUUAAGUAGGUUUUUUAAUUGCCUGCUAACGGCCAGGCUUUGUGAGUUGUUUCAGAUAUGAAGUGAUUAACUCUGAUUGGUCAGUGUUAUUUUGCUUCAAAUUUUUUGCUCCUCCUGGCUUCCUUUUUAAGUUGAAAAUAUUACCUUAUCAUAUAGUUGAAAUGUACAGAAAGAGAUGUGUGCAUGACAUAAAAAUACAAUCCAUAGUUUAUAAAAGCUUGUAUAAAAAAAUACGCCAGUAGGCCAUCUCAUCUACCCACCACCUUAGCCUGCAUGUCUGAAAGUUAGUUUCGGACCCUAGUGAUAGUUUAUCCCUGAUUGUUAUGUCUGCUUUUGUAGGUCAUACCAAGGCAUCAAUGUUAAUUUGAGUGUUUCAAAACAAAGCUAAAACUCCUUACUGAAGCUUUAACAGUGGGUCCCUAAGGCUUUGUUAUUGUUGUUAUCUGCCUGAUGCCUUAAAACAACAUCAAACUAUUAUAGGUGAAGGCAGAAAACUUAAAAAAUGAGAUUAUUUUUUGAAGGUCCAUAAUGAUGAGUCACUUAUUUAUCACAUUUAAAUUUCUUAAUGCCAUUUAACCCUCAUGGAAAUAUUAACUGCAUCUAUUUCAACUCAGCAGCAAUCAUUUCAUCUGUUCGGUUUACGUCUUCUCAGGUCUGACUGACUGCAAAAAUAGCAGCAUUCAAAACUAAAGAGAUAAAAACUAUUUUAUCUUUUUGAGACUCUGAGAGGUCGCAGAGAAACCAACUCCAGUUUGAAGGAAUCACACACUCAGGCGUUUCAUGUUUCCUCUCAAGACUCCACCACCAAAGUACUUUCAGAUCCAGGACAAACAUGACUGCUAGUGCUGAUGCUGAUGAUGUAGACAGCUGUAAUGAUGAUAGUUAUUUUCAUCACACACCCCAUUAUCAAGGCUGCAGGGCUGUAAGGUCAACUCCUCCACCAUCAGAGCUCCACACACGCAUCUUAAGAUGCCAUGAAAUGACCAGAGCGUGUCAUCCCACCGCCCUGCUAACCAAUGAAGUUUACCCUCGCUUCACAGCUUCCUCAUCACACCACGCUCCGUCAGCCGGGCCAACACUCUCUACAGCCUGACCACUUGAAAUUGCAGUUUCCACCACUAGAGAUGUGACUCAGAAAGUGUCAGUCUUAACAGCCAAUAUGACAAGGAGCUGACUUUAAGGGCUGGAGCUUAUCCUCCAGUCAUGCGCCACACUAAAAAGUCAGACUCCAGCUCUGACUUUCCUGUUCUGUGGAUACACUGUGUGGUUCUGCUUCCUCCCCCCUCUAUAAUAAAACUCAUUAUGUAUCCAGUCAGUUGCUGAAUUCAAAUCACCUCACAGAGCGACACGCUGUGUGGUGAAUAAAGUCAGAAGUCACCUCAUGCCAAAUGAGGGGACGCUCUCGUGGCUGAUGGAAACGCUUUCUCUGCCAUCUGUCUGCAGUCCUUGCCACCAGUUCUGGCGCAGCAGAGCAAAUAAAUAGAGGCAUCCUCAGACAUCUCAUCACUCUAACCUGGCAACACGAAUUUGAAUCCAUCAUCUCUGAACAGACACUAUGAUUUCUGGCUGCUGAGCAGUUUAUUUUUGUUGUUGGGUAUUUUAGAAUUAGACCUUAUUUUGGUGAACAGAUGGCAGACUAAAUCCUGUUGAAUCCCAGUCUUGAAAAUGUCAUUUAGACAGAGCCCAGAACUCUCCUGAACUGUGACUUCUGGAAUCUAUUGAUCACAGAAAUGUGGAUUUAUUUAAUCCUCAUUUUUCACUGACUUUACUGAUAAAUGGCAAAGAGAGGGGUUUUUUUUAUACACCAGGCUGAAAAGCAGAGUAUGACUCACCACUUUGGAGGAGAGUUUGGAGCUCAUUUCACCUCUGACUUCUUUCACUGACAGGUGUGUGAUAGGAGAGAGCUUUGUGUCACCUGUAACCGCACCAGUGAUGGAGCACAUCUGUUAUCACUAUCUGAAGGCUGAAUGAUGCUAAAUGAGGUUUUUAAAAAUAAGGAAAACUGCUAAUCUGAGCGCUUAUUCACAGAUUUUACACAUUGCUGAUCUGAACAUAUUACAAGUGGUUCAGAAAAUACAUGUGAAAAUCUCAACUGCUGCGAGACUUCGUUCUAUUAACUCAACUAACACUGGAAACUUGUAUUGUCCUUGUGUUAUUUGUUCAAGAAACAAGUUCCGGUAACACAUUACAAUAACCAUAACUUAUAAAUGGUAAAUAGACCAUUCAUAAACGGUAAGCUGAUAGUUUAUAAAUGUUUAAUUAUCAUUUAUAAAUAGCAUAUAGACCAUUCAUACAUUGUAAACUGUACAAUUUUAAAAACCUAAUCCUAACUUUACAAUAACCAUCUAAGUAAUGUUUAUAGGUGGUUUAUAAACCAUUUAAUUAUCAUUUACAAAGUAUUACAAACAUCAGUUGCAACUUUACAAUAACCGUCUAAGAAAUGUUCAUAGAUGGUUUAAAAACCAAGUAUUAACCAUUUACAAAGUGCUACUGACACACAUUUUAAUCUAGAUGUUUUACAACCAGUAUUUAAACCCUAUAUAAACCUUUAAUAUAUACUCCAUUAAUAAUUAAUGAAAAUGAUUAAUCAUAAUUUCAUUGCUUAAAGUAACUAUUACCUUACAUUAAUAAACUAUCUAUUUGCCAUUUAUGAUUGGUCUAUAUGCUGUUUUUCUUAAUGAUGAUUAAACAUUCAGUAACUAUCUAUUUACCAUUUAUAAAUUAUGGUUAUUGUAAAGUGGGCGGCACAGUGGUGUAGUGGUUAGUGCUGUUGCCGCACAUCAAGAAGGUCCUGGGUUCGAAUCUGGAUUAGGGUGUUUCUGUGUGGAGUUUGCAUGUUCUCCCUGUUACUGUGUGGGUUUACUCUGGUUACUCCGGUUUCCUUCCACAUCCCAAAACAUGCAGAAGUGGGGCUAGGUUGAUUGGCCACUUUCAAAUUGCACAUAGGUGUGAAUGUGAGCGUGGAUGGUUUUUUGUCUCUAUAUGUCAGCCCUGCGACUUGUCCAGGGUGUCCCCUGCCUUUGCCCGAAGAUGCUGGGAUAGGCUCCAGCAACCCCAGGAACGGGAUUAAGCAGUAGAAAAUGGAUGGAUCAAUUUAUUGUAAAGUGCUUCCCAAGUUCCUAACUUCCUAUAAGAGCUCACGAUGAAAAGUUAACAAGUCUAAAGUCAGAAACUAUUUUUUCCCGUCAUCAGUAUUUGUUAACUCAGAAUCUGAGCCUGAACAUGUUUGAGCCGGAGAGGACUCAAUCAAUAGAGACUGAUUUUGAAAUAUGGCUGCAGCACGGACUGAAAGCGAGCCUGCCCCAUCCUUUGAUAAUCCUCAGGGGGUUUAUGAGCAAAUCUGACGCUGAUUCUUGGUUAUCUCCGUCUUCCCGUCCUUUCGAUCCAGCCCUGCUAUUUAUCUGCCUAUCUGAGUGCUACACAUAAAUCGCUUUCAAACACCAGCAGCCUCAAAGAGCCAGACAGAGGGCUGCUUUUGAUCCCAGAUGUCAUUGAGACUUUUUUUUGCAGCUUUGGGGGUGGCAUUUUGAAGGCUAUGAAAGAGGAACAUAGCUUCGGUCAGCAGAUGGGGGAAAUGGGGGAAAUGUCACCGAUAAGCACUGACUCUCAGGAGUCUUAUGUAACACUGUACGUUACUGUCACCGGGGACGAAUUAUGACCUUAUAUAGAGAUUGCUGAGAUAGUUUAAGUCAAAAUAGAAAACACACAAUGAAGUGUCCUUGAGCGAAAGACUUUCCUUUUUUUAGCAGGUUUCUCCUCUGUAGUUCAACCAACAAGAGAUCCUCUUUCAUUUCCUCUGUUUGUUUUACAAAGUUUAUAGCCAGAAUCUGCAGUCUUUAGCUUUUCAUUCGUCAUGUAUUGCAAACUGCUGGUUUCAUGGGAGAUAUAUUUUUGGUAUCAUCAGGCCUGGUUGUUUAUAUACGAAAUGUUUAUCUUUAUUUUCUGUAAAAAACGAUGAACAUGUUGAUUUUCUCUCAUGGCUUUGGAAGCAAACAUCGAUUUGUUUGUGUGAUUCAUAAAUAUUAUGUUAAUUUUGUUUAUCUGUUAUUUUAUACAUGUGCUGCUCAAGACAGAGUGUACCCGAGUAAAAGGAGAUGAACACAAAAGCAGAGCUUAUAUAAGCAGGUUCAGUCACUGUUUCAUCUUUAUUGUGUUUUUAAAGGCUGAUUUAUUUGCCCAAUGCUUUCAAGUCUGCUGUAUCAAGUAGUCAUCCUUUCUCAGCUUUGGAAACAUUACCUCUUGUUCUGCUCAUAAAAGUCGAAAGUCCAUGCAACAAAUACUGGAGAUCAGAUAGAGGAAAUGCAACAGUGAAGAUGUAAAUCUAUACGGGAUAAGUGCAGCCGAAGAGCGAUGCUGUUUGUCUUGGUGAGCAUGCACAAGGUCAAAGGGUUUCCAUAAUGGGAGACCCGCACGGCUGAUUUACUGCAGCGCACACAAAUGAGGAGUGAUCACGCCUGAACCAUGAAGACUUGGAGUGUUUCCCAGCAUCUCUUCGAGCGCUCCUUCAGGCUGGGUCAUCCACCAGUUCCUCUGAGCUGUGACAUGCUCUCAAGCAGAAGUGUGGUCAGUUUUUUUUUUUUUUUUUUACUGCAAGAGUCACGGGGCCACUGUGGAGCGAAUGCAAUGAAAGGGGUAAUGUUAUGUACAGGCACAGAUUCAUCUGGACAACAGCGGAGAAAGGCCGUCUGUUUUUCUUGAUACAUCACACGCUCUGUCGUGACAUCCAAAUAAGAGAAGCUCAUACAUAUCACAUUAGAGCAGUCGCCUCUGGAGGCCCGUCCAGUUAUCUGGGUGAGCUCCUCUGGCGCCGAGUGAUGUCGAUUGGAAAUGAGAGUGCGUCGCCGGCUACUAGGCAACUGCAACUUAGCGCGAAUUAGCAACAAUGCAAGAUAAGUUCUCAAUCUCCACUAAUAUUAAUCAGCCUCAUCUUUGUUAUGUAAAUAUGGAGAUUGAAUUUGAAGGUAAUGAAGAGUGAGGCAGCUCCUUCUUCCUAAAGGAUGUGUUUCUUGAAUCUGACAUCAAAGCCAAACAGCUCUUUCAGCUGCCAAAGAAAAUUAAUGAUGCUUUUUUUAACGCUGUCACUCAAUCUUUUCGACAUGAUGACUCCGGAAAAACGCUCAAAAAACUGUGUUGGGCCUCACGCUGACUCACAUCAAUCCGAAGGAGAAAACAAUGCGAACGAUACAAAGCGAUGGAGAACAACAAAAGAUGUUCCAGUGUGGGUUUUCUCGAGGUGGUUGAGGGAGGCCUCGGUGUGUGGAUGUGGCAGAGAGGCAGAGUGUGGGCUUCUUUUCACACGUUUUCUCUCCACAGGCUCACAAGUGACAGCUGAGGAAAGACACCAAUGUGUCUCCUUCCCUCACCGUUAGCGUCCUCUGCCGCGGGCAAAUGUCAGUCAAAGACGUCAUCCUCGUGUUUGGCCUUUGAAUGCAUCAUCUGUAUCCCCUUCAUCUCCGGUCUCUUUGUUUGUUAAGUAUCAUCCUUUUUGAGUUGUUGUUCUGUUGCAUCAUAUUAUGCAAGAUUUAUGUUUCUUUGGGUUCAAGUUAUUUUGAUUUUUUUUAAUGAUUAGUCGACAGCGUUCACUAACAGGCCUUGUAAGUGCUUUCAGACACUAUUUUUACAGCACCAUCCAGUUAGGGGUGAUGGUAAAUGGUUUCACAGGGACGGGAAAGGAGGAGGGGGUUGUUAACCCUGUGUAGUAUGUUGACAUGCUGCAGGUGGUGGCCUGUUGAAUGUCCAGCUGAGCCAGGAAUGUGGAGGCCCUUUGGGUGCAAGCUGGGGAGGGUUUUCCUAAAGAGCAAAUGCAGCUACUAUGUGCGUAUUGAAAGGAUGACUAAGCUUUUAGAUAUUGUUUAGAGCAUUAAAGCACCAUAAAAGGCCUCAGAGCUUUCAACUGCAUGGUAAAAAUACUGCCUGGUCUUUGGGUCAUGAUGAGGGGUGUUUAGUUCAGUGACAGCCUGGGGAUUAGCAUAAUGGCAGCAAGCUAAGCUACACCAUCGGAGGACCCUUUCUCUUUAGGCCCUGGGGGUCUUCAACUGAUUUAUUGCUGUCCCCCCUGACUGCCUGCAUCUAUCUUUAGCUGUGCAGACUUUUAUGAGCUGGCUGAAGCGAAGGCUUGCUGUGGCACUGUUGUCAGUGCUCACCACAGACGCUGUGACUGACCUCCUCUGCGGCUCGUGCUUCCACAGGUUGUGCGGAGCUCAGUUUGCAGGGAACCCUGCAGAGAUUGGCAUGUGUCAGAGGAAUUCAGGGGUCUAGUAGCUGUUGUUUUUAAGACUCCUGACUGCUACUGUCUUCUAGCUUCCCAGCAGUGGAAUCUAGAUUUACUCAACUGCCAAAUUUAAGCACAAAGAGUUUCCACCUCAUCAUAAAUCAAUCCCCAUUAUGGUCAGUGGGGAUUUCGCUUAAUUUUUUAUUUAUUUGACUGCAAAUCUAACAUUCGAAGCAUUUGAUGAUAAUAGCGAUGAAAUGUCAUACAUUCACUUUCUUCAAAGUGUGUCAAAUAGAGCUGAAAUGAUUACUGAUUGCAGAGCUGCCAAGCAUCACGCUUCGAGUGUGACAGUCAUGCAAUUUUAUCCAUUCUCACACCACUCGCCACACUUGACUUUUCUCAUGCUUAUUUUCCCCAUUCAAUACUCUGUAUUUAUUUUUUUCAUGAUAAUAAACUUCGUAGUUUGAGUAACUCUGAUUGACUGACCAAGAUAAUCAAUCCCAGAACAAUCCAUCAGUCCUUUGUGCCUAAUGCUGCGUUCGAGUUACCUCGGAAGUCAGAUGUCGGAACUGAAAAUGACGUCAUACCCAAGUUACCAGCGUUCCAGUUACCAAGUCAGAAAAAUGAAAAAUCGAAGGCCUGACACAAGGUAGCUACGACUACAAAAGUUACCUUAGUGCUUGCCUUAUAUCUGGACAAGGCAAGCGCUAAAAACACUUUUGUAGAUGUAGCCAUCUUAUUACUGCCUUCUCUUUUGCUUUUUUCUGACUUUGUAACUGAAACGCUGAGGGUUUUUUGGGGUCUUGGCGUCUCUAACCAUCUUUCACACACAACAGUGUCGACAUUUAAAACCCAAAAUUCUUGUUACAAUUUUUAUUUCUAAUUUCUGGAUCUUAAUUAAGAUCAGGGAGAGCAGCUGGCACGGAGGUGAGGACAUCAGUCUCAGUAUAAAUCAACGUUAAAAACGGCAAAAAAAAAAUUUGUUGCAUGGCUGAACACAUCAUAACGCAAAAGUGUCACUCUUGUAAUUUUCUGAAACUUGGCAGCCCUGUGAUUGGCAGGAACUGAACCAAUACUGAUAGAACUCUAAAUCUAUUCUUACCCAGUUAUGUUUGAAGGAAAACAUAUGAUCAGUAUAAUCCAUUAGAUGCAGCCUUUUGGCCCCUCACCCCAGUCCUAAUUGUGAGGAAAUGGCUCCAUGCUGACCUAUGAAAACAGUUAUAUGCAGCUUACUCAUAGAUGCAUCAUCAUCAGCGCCUCAUAGAGGUCAUUAAUGCGCAUAAACUCUCAGUUUUGAUUCCGACCGAAGUAUAAGAUCUAAAUUUAACUUAUGAUCAAACCUUUUUUUAUGCUAAUCACAGAAAAAGCUGGAGGUUGUUAACGGCUGAUGAUGCAGUGCUUGAGUAAUAAGAGGAAAUCUCUGCUUUUAAGCUCAGGUUAGGUCACUGUUGGAUUAAUAACUACACUGAAAAUACACUCUGGCAGCUUUGAAGUGGGGGAUAAAACGUUUUCAGUGGCAGACAAAACCUUUUACCUCACUGAAGUGGUGCGACAAUUGCUUUAAGCCCCGCGAUUGGUCAGAACAUCAGCACUCCUCCUUUUCAUUGACUGACUACAAUACACAGAGUGACGGAAGAUAAUUGGACCAUGUUUGUUCAACUGUGAUGUUGGUAUAGUAUUAGUAAACUUAAAUUAGCUUCAGUUUGAUCAUUUCUAUUGAUAUGAAGUUUGUCUUUUUACUAAUCGUAUCAGUGAGCAGUACAGGCUGGAUGAAAGUAAUAGUGUUUAGUCUAGAUAUUCUUAUCUAGAAUCUCAACCAGUAAGUGAAAAACUUUUAAAAUUAAUAAACUUUUGUUUCCCAAGUUUUUACUUGUUGUUCUUUAAAUAUCUUUCCUUGUUUAAACUACUUUAAUAUUUAUUUUUUUCUCUCAUUACUAUUCCAUGUUUAGUUGUUGUGUAUAUGUCCCUUAGUGUAAAUGUUUCCCCACUGUCUCUUUGCAAGUUAUUAAACCUAGAGUUUCAAUGACAUUUUCAAUGCCUGCCUUUUAUUUUGAUGGGGGAGGGGAAACAUACAGACUAAUUUACAGUUUGUAAACUAUGAUGCUGUACUGGACUUAAGGGUUAUGGGCUUUUGACCAAUCAGAAUAAAGUAUUUUGGUAAUACUAUAUGUUUUAAUCGAUGUGAAUGUUCUUUUUACAUUUACAAUCAUGUAUAGUUUUAGGAUCACUUAACCAUUCGGGCAUGUUAUUGAUGAAGAUAAAACACUUUUUGUAGGUCCAGAGUCCCUCAAGUAAACUCAUCAAUCUUAUCACAUUUAUCAGAAGAGGAACAACAACAACAAGAAAAAGAAAAUAUUUAUUGAUCCCCUAAAGAGAAAUUCAAUACUUUAUUACUAUUUUUGUUAAACAGUUGUGAAAAUUUCACCCUAAAACAGUCUGCAUGCUUAGCUCAUCUAGCAAUGAACAUUAUAAAUCAUGUUGGUUUAUAAAUGCUGUAAUGCAUGACAUUGCUUUGCAUGUAUCCCCAUUUUGUAUCCCCAAGUAGUAGUGCAACUUUUCUUCAAAAGAUGUCACAACUCCAAAUAACUUAGAGUUAAUAAGGGCCAAGCAAACACAACAGAUCUGAGGUUUCCUCUAUAGAAUCAAUAGCUGUACGGGAAAGCUUUGUGCACACUCACAGAUUUAUCUCCCCCAAACACAAGUCUGGCACACAGCCUCCAUAUGGUGUGUUUUACACUGUGGGAGGAACGUGCUUUCUCAAACUUGCUUCCAUUAAACACAUUCCUCUCAAACAGCCUGAUAACGGCAUGCUAGCAGGUCCCAGCUCUCUAGUUAUGUGACUCAUCACUCAGGUGUGUUUACAGCUUAUUACACAAAAAGAAGCAGAAGAGCUCCUCCGGAGACAUAUUACCACGUUUGGAACUGGAAAAAAAAAAAGCCAAAUCGACACGUCCUCUCACAAAGUUAGUUAUUCAGCGCAAAUGUGUCACGGGUGAUGACCUUUCAAAACAUGAGCUUUUGCUAGCACAAACAUGCGGGUAAAGCAGCAGGGACCGAGAGAACGAGGCUGUGUUUACGCAUGUGUUAGACUGAGAAGUGGGGUCAUUUCAUCUCCCACAGAACCAACAAUUACAUCCCACCUCAAGCAGUAUAUGAGUUUGUUGCUUUAGUGCAGCUGGGGAGGAAAGACGGCUAUUUGUUGUCUGAGAGGCUGAGAGAUGAGAGGGAUUCUCCACAGCUUACAUAACCUGUCUCUCUCCAUUCAAAGCAGGAAGGCCUUUGUCCAUUACGCCAGAUGGAUAUCAACCCUUAUUUAUUACUGAUAUGAACACUAGAUUUGACGCAAAGCAGCAAAAACAACCAGAAAACCUAACUGCAAAGAACAGAUAUCUACUUUUACACUCUAAGUUAGAAAACAUCACAUUCCUCAGUGCAAGUAAAAUAAACACACCCAGGAAGAAAAAAGAGAAGUGCAGACUUUUUUAGUCAUGACAACAUUACAGCUGUUGAGUUACUGCACCUUGAUGGCACAGUGUUAGACAGCUGUGAACGGCUGCGGUGUGAAAAGAGACGCCUCUAUUCCACCUGAGAAAUUAGCACAGGGGUUGGUGGAGAAUAGCAGAGUCUCAAUUUCCUCCAUGAAAUGAGUUGAUAUAUGAGAGAUCUGGAGAGGAUUUGGUGAAAUGACAAGCAGAGAAAUAACAUCACGAAACAAUAGCUGUCUUUUUUUCUACUCGGGGUGUUAACUCAAACACCUCAGAGCCUUUUUUUCAUGAUCUGAUGACAUUAAAGUGAAAAAAAAACCUCUCCUGUCUUUCAGUUUACAAAACAGAAAUUGUACAGCCGAACCCAGCAGGGGGGAGUGUUUGCUUUCUACCCUGUCUCUGCCUUCCCUGUCCUCUUUCUAACAUUUCUCUUUUACAGUUUUUUUUCUUUCUCUCUCUCUUCCCAUGAGGAUAAGCUGGGCGGUGACAGAUGUAAUGGAAGAGGCUGGUUCUUGGAUUUUGUAGCAAUCUGUCGAGCCUCUCUGGAGGUUCACAGGCUGAACUUGACAAAACACGACUAAGGGCUGCCCACUUGAUAACCCUAGUGAUGUUUUGGCUUUUGCUGCUCGUCUAUACUCAUGUUCAGAGUGUGGAGGAGGAGCCUAUGUGGUUGGGUAGGUCCUAACAGCUUUGUCAGUUCCUGGAGCUCCGAGAAGGUGGGGAGGUGUGGCCACAGACUUGUACCUUAAAGGGAUAUUCCGAGGUAAAAUUAAGUUAGCGUCAAACACACCGUAACACCAAGUUAGACACCCCCUCGAGAGAUGAAUGUUGCCGACUGCUUGCUUAUAGUUAUACCAACUUUUGUAACGACCGUACGAUAGCAAUAUACAGCGGUCUCAGGAGCCACACGCUCAACCAAAAUGCCACUCUAUAGCCACAAAUAAUGCUCAGAACAGCACCUAACUUCAUCAACAGUACAUACAGGGUCCCAGCCAUAGCACUACCCACCAAACAUCUUUUUAUCUUUGCCUGAUUUCUUUAGCAAAGAGACUAAACACAACUCACCCACUCUCUUCCAGCAGCCACUUGUUUGUAUGGAGACCUCAGACAAGUCCAUUACAGACUGCCGAGUGGGGUGACGCAGCUCAAGGAAGAACAUAUAUGAUCAUUACUUUGUCAUUUCCUUAAAGCUAUAAUCACCAUAUUUAUCAUUUUGUACUGCAGACACGGUAGUUCUUCUGCCUACUAGAGAAACAAGCAGUCAGCAACAUUCGUCUCUUGACGGGUGUCUAACUUGGUGUUAUGGUGUGUUUGAUCCUAACUUAAUUUUACCCCGUAAUAUCCCUUUAAUGUCUGACUGUGUGUGUAUGUAGAGCUGUGUAUUUACAAGCUGUUUCUCUUGCACUUAUGCAAUAACAUAAUGCAAAUUGAAAUCUACUUAUUAAUGAAUGAAUUAAGCCAAGUUACAUUUCCAAAACAGCAUGUCUUAAUUUGAAGUCUUUAUUGUGUCUGUAACAAUUUUUCUUCACAGAUACAUGUCGUUAUAUUGAUAACUGAGAUUGUCAAUUUGCCACAGCUUUCUUUCUUUGUUAUGAGCUCUCUGGGCUACCGUACGUGACUGUGGUCGUUAACAAUGUUUCUCACACAGCACACCUGGAAGAUGACGGCAAAGCAGCAUUCCAGGCUAUGACCCCUGACCUUCUGUUCACCUCACAGACACAUGUCUUGUAAGUGUAACACAUUCAGGGGCUUUUUUUCACCCUCACUGUCAGCUCGUCUUUGGAUCACAGUGCAGCACUUUCAUUCUGGCUCUUCAGUCUAAGCAGCCCAAAAAUGCUGAAAGACUGGGCCCACUGACCGAUUUUUGGCUUGUUGAUGGAUUGAAAUCGACAGCAAAUUUGUAAAAAUGUAAAAGAUAUAAAGGCUUUUUAAAUGGAUUGUCUAAUUGUUUUGACUGGUGGUUGGAAAGAAAUCUAGAGAUCUAUUGAGAGGCGAAGCAAAUCGUACUGGUUGGAUAACAAAGACGAGGAGAGUGGGUGAAAGGAUUUGUUGUAAAAGAAAUUUCUGAUCAUUAAAACUUGACAAAUGAAGGAUCACUUUUCAUGCAUCAUAGCAGCUUGUUUUAUUUGAAGGCCACUGUCACUUCACUGACAGGAAAGUGAGCAGGAGAGCGUUUCAAUCCAGGAACUGUCAGCUUCUUCCUGUUAAAUGCAACUUUAAAUCAAAGAGAAGCUGAUGGGAGCAAUAAAAACUAAGAUACUUUAAAGGACACAUCACAUUGGGGGUCUUGCUCCAACCUGCCUGAAUACCAUUCUGCUAGAAUAAUAUCCUCACCAUACAUCAUCCCUGUAAUACUCAGCUGCUGUCUUUGUAGGUUAUAUUUUCAGGCUUUUAUGCUUUUACUCAAAGUUAACUAGACGGUGGAGCGAGCAGGAAACCAGGUGAGAGGGUGAAAAUUAAUAUCCUGAAAGAAUCUGCAGAUUAGAAUCAGAGCCUGGUCACCUGCUUGGAAACAGCCUCUGUGCAAUAUUACUCUACUACUUGGCCGUAACAGUGCUUCAAUAGUUUGCUGUUAAAUACUCAAUCCUGAUUGGUCAAACUCCACUAAAACUGUGAUUAAUUCUUAAUUAACAAAAACAACAUCAGGACAACAUCCAUCUUAAUAAUUCAAUAUGCUGACCACAGAUGGCACAGAUCCUGAGGGGCUGCAGGGUCCUAGCAAUCUCUGAAACGUAGAGCAAGAUCCUGUCCUGCAAUCCAGGCAAUGGCAGCAGAGCCAAUGAGUGCAUUUCCAACUUGCAAACCACCUGUUCUGUUAACGAAAUCCCUCACUUGCUGUUUUACUUCAGUUUUUUGAAUGCAAGUCUGACAUGCAAGUUUGUGCUGUUUCAGAGGAGAGAAAGAAAACAUAACCUUUACACAUACUGCCUAACUUACAGUUGUUCUUUAACUUGCCUCAACAGUUAUAAAAGUUAAACUACAAACAAACCAAAUGUACAAAUAUGCUAAAAGUGCUUCAAAUUAUCAAGAGUGGGUUGUAGGACUCAUUAGAAUAGGAUAGUAUUUCUGCAGGUUUGUUACGUGACACAUUCUCUAAACUGAGAAACCAAUAGUGGCCAUGGUCAUCCUAAAUCCUAAACCAUGAUUGGCUAUUUGUUUAUCAGAGGAGGCCCUGCUUCAACAAGCUGCAAGUAUCUCCUGAUGUUCACAACACCUGGUCACCCAAAGGAAGUCAGCGCCCCAUUUUUGCCUCCUUGUCUCCACCUCAAACUUUAAACCGAAAGACUCAAGAAAAGAUUCAUCAAGAGUGAAUUAAUUGUAUGUCACGGCCGGGAUAUUGUUAGAAAAAAAGUUGAAAUACACCCACCCUAACCAUCUGAUUUUGACCGACUAAUGUAGGGAGGAAGGAAGUAUCAUUACUGCGUUUGCUAAGUCAAUUUCCUGAGCUCUUCUUCUAUCCGUCUCCAGUGUGAGCUGUGUGAUGAAUCUACAGCUCUGGAUAUGAUAUCAUGUUACAAUGUGAGACUACAUCGAUGUGAUGUGAAGUCUGUGUAUUGAUACCGCUGCUCAAGCGCAGGAUUAGCUGUGAGUUUUUUUUAUGAGACCGGAGAGGCUCAGAAAUAGAUUGCCUCUGGCCAAAAGCACUCACUCUCUCUCUCUCUCUCUUUCGUCCCUGUGCUGCCUCUCGGUCUUGCACCUCCCAGCACUCAUUCACAGCUCUCUUGGGACGGCAGGCCCAGGCAGGCGGCCAGCUGGUGAUGUCUCACUGGGACGGCGGCAGAGAAAAGGAGAGCACAGUCAGAUGUGGUAUCAAAGACAUCAGGGGCUCAAGGGUGGACGGUCUCCAGAGGCAUUGCGACAUACCUCCCCUGUUACUGCACUUACAGAAGCCCCCCUCUCAGGUUUCCAUAAGGGUCAUGCUUGUGUCUGCUGUGAUUGUAGCUUUAUGAAUGGUUACAUAAAUCUUCGUAUUCAAACCUGUGCGUGGGUGAUAAUGAUGCGCAAACAUAUGUCUGGGUAUACCCAAGAUACCUUUCUCUGUUUCUUCACUCUCUCUCUUUCUCUCUCUCUGUGAGUGUAUUACAGGAAAACAGUGACUAAUGUCUGCCCUCUUCUCUUCCGUAAGCUGAUAUGUCCCUAAGGCGAAUGAGAGAAGGCACCAGCCUUUUUCUCUGCCCAAAGAUGCUUCAGAGGCACUGCAAAGACCGCACAUGAACCUCUCAGGAUGGCUCACAUGGACUUCCACGAUCGUGAACUUAAUCGCGCACGUGAACGUCCACUCUUCUGUGCACUCAGAGCGUCUAUCUCUGAAUGCCGUAAGGUUAACUUGGCGCCCAUUACCUAACCCGCAACAUCCAGGGGAGAUGACCCGUGUAGUGCUCAGACAACGCAGGCUGAAACUGGUAGUGCAGCAUUACUCACUCUGAGUAAACAUGGGAAUAGUAACAGGAGUGAAACACAUUCAAACCGAAUGAUGCUCACAUAGCCAUGGUGAUGACGUUAUUAGUGUGUAUAGGGACAAGCAUUGAUAAGGGGUAUUGAAAACAUAGGCUCAUUUUAAUGCAAAACUAAUUGGGGAUGUUCUGGGUCUUCUUAUCCAAACGCAUGAAUGCCCUUUCCUUGAGCGUGAGUACUGCUUUUUUAGGUUGAACAUACUCUCUGUGGUCAUGGACAGGGUCUCAGAAGGUGACACUUAAUUUACCACUCUCAUAAUGGGCGCAGUGUCUGCUGCAUACAUAAUUAAUCAAUCACUGUUUUCCACAUUGAUAACAGCACGACCCCGGCCCUCACCUCGUCUUUGAAUACUGAUUGCCGCUUACAAUUACUGCGGGGCAUGUAGCUUAGAGACUCAGACACAAGAGGUAGUGUUUCAUUCGAGGAACCAAAACAAUCCUCAGCUGAUAAGGCUAGAGAAGAGUUAGCACGAGCCUCACAACCAGGUAUCACAACAGUACAGAUACAUUAAAGUAUCUUAAACUCUCCAAACAUACCUUCACAAACGCAUU